rnacentral:rRNA from 1 species
AACGAACGCUAGCGGUGUGGAUUAGGCAUGCAAGUCGCGCGCGAAAGCCUUCGGGCGAGUAAAGCGGCGAAAGGGUGAGUAACACGUAACCAACGUACCCCUCAGACUGGGAUAACCACUGGAAACGGUGGAUAAUACCGGAUGGUCCACUGGGCAGCAUUGCCUGGCUGGUAAACGGCGGCCGCAAGGCGGUUGCUGAGGGAGCGGGUUGCGGCCUAUCAGCUUGUUGGUGAGGUAACGGCUCACCAAGGCUAUGACGGGUAACAGGUCUGAGAGGAUGAUCUGUCACACUGGGACUGAGACACUGCCCAGACUCCUACGGGAGGCUGCAGUCGAGAAUCUUCCACAAUGGGCGAAAGCCUGAUGGAGCGACACCGCGUGCAGGAUGAAGGCCUGG